AAAUCGAUUAUCAUAAUUGUACAAAUACAUUCUUUAAAAGAUGUAAAACCAAAGGUAAAUCAAAGGGUUGUCACUGGUAACCAGUGGUCUAUGUUUAAAAGGGGGCAGAAAAGAUAGAGGGAAAGGGCAGUGAAAUAGUCUUCCAAGGCAGAAUAUUGGAGACUAACAGUUUAGGACAGUCAAACUGUAUUUGGACAAGUCAUUAAAGAAAUUUCUGAAAGAGGUGAGCCUGCAGGGGCAAGGGGCUAGACCAGAUGGCCUUACAGAUUUCUUCCAUCUUUAACUGUUAUUAAUCUGCAACUCUACCCUACUGUUAACUCCUCAGGAAGAUGCAAUACUUCCUCAAGGACUGGAAUUCACUCUGGUGCAUAGAGUAUCACAAGACUUACUUAUUUUUCAAGUAUCAUGUAUGCCAUAUGUAAGCCCUGAAAAAGAGGGGAUAUGUGACACACUGAAUUUGGGCAAGGGAGCUAGACAAGGGCACAUUUUACCAUGUAUCUUUGAAUACGUACAUGAAAUUCAUGCAAACAAGGCUGAAAAUUUGCACCAAUAUUUGAGAUUUGCAUCCCAGUGAUGCUCCACUUUGAUCGUUCUUUCUCCUGCAUUUGUAAACAGAAAAAAAAAGCUACUGAGGAACUUGAAGGGCCAAAGAGCCUUUGAAGUUAACUACAUUAGUUCAUGAGAGAAUUUCUCAGUAAGACUAAACACAGUAUUGUGUGUAUAAAGCACUAAUAUCCAGGGUUAUUUUGACAUAGUUCACAAAGGGUGAGGGAGAAAAGAAUGAAUGCACUGUGUCAUUACAGGUUCAGUUGUAAGGAUUAUAUACUUUGUGAGUAGUUUUGCCCACAGUUGAGAGACAUUAGACUUGUUCAUAGGUUUACAAUGGUACCAAAGUAUUCUUUUUUUUCCUUUUGAGGUUUGCAUAUAGUUCAGUGCACACAGCCUGGAGUAAGUUAUUCAGAUCUUCUGAAAGAAUAAUCCGAGCAGAACUGUUAACAGGAGAUUGCAUGCAGCAAAUCCAGCCUCAUUUCCAUCAAAGGCACUGAACCUGCAGCUAUUUUCUCAUGAAUGUGUCUGUUUCCAUAGCUCCUGUUGCAGGACUGGGGACCUAUUUAUUAAAGCUAAUUUUGGAGCAGAAUCCAGCCCAUGUUAAAGUAUAGUUCUUCAAGCAGUUUACAGUUUAGCAGUAAGGUGGUUCUGCCCAGAUAGUCUCAGUUUUUACAGACACUGCAAGCCAAAUCUUCAGCUGGUGUAAAUUGGUGUGGCUCCAUCAAAGCUCAUUUAAGUGAUGCUGAUUUGCUGUAGGUGGGGAUCAGCCAUGAAAAUCCAGCACAAGUUACCGCAUCUUGUAAAGUAGCUUCUUUAUUUUUGUCAUGUUUAUUUCAUGUUUCAGAAGUCUUAAAUCUUUUCGACAUGUUUUUAUUUUUAGCUGUGGACUGUAUUACUUAUUUAAAAAGCAGCAAUAGUUUUUGUUUAGUUUAUGCAUCAGUUUUCAUUGCAUAUUGCAUUUUAUUAGCCAUUUGUUCCCUGUUCAUACACUCCCAUUUAGCUUCCAGGUUUUCAUUGUAGUACAAUCUGCCUUGAAAAGUUGGACCUCUGUAUCUUUAAUUGUAUAAUAUAUUGAGUAUUAUGAAAUUAAAUGUACCUUAUUACAUGGGUGGGAGAGAGAGGAAAUAUUUUUACUUGAAGCCUUAAUAUUUUCUUUUUUUACUACUUUGUUUGUUGACCUCAUAGGAAAGUCUGAAUAGUAAAGACUUUGAAACUCUGGGCCAAAUACUGCACUGAUAUACAACCAGCAUUUGGCCUCCUAUGUCAAAACUGGAUGCAGACAUAACCUGAAGUGAACAAGGGAAAAAGCCUCAGGGUGGUGUAUUUUCCUGAAGAUCAUUAAUACAGUCUCAAAAUGUGUCUGUAAGCAAGUACAUCACAGAAGUCUUCAAGUCUUGAACUUUUAAGAAAGGCGAUAGCAGGAACUGCCCUAAUAUCUUACAUUUGCAUUUUCUUUUUAAAUUAAGCAAAACAAGUGUAAUUACUUAGUUUGGUUAAAAUCAGCUCUAAGGGUUGCACAGAGCUAUGUGUGAGUAGCCAUGUGCAGCAGAUGGACUGUGUUGUGUCGCUGUUCUAAAAUUGCUAACCAAGCAUAAUGUUAUGUCAACUCGGCCUAAGAUAAUCACCUCAUGGGUGUUAUAAUGGACGUUCCUCAGAUGAUGCCUAUUCUCCUAUAAGCCUAAUGUGGAAAUUGCAAUGUGGUUUUCUUUGGACUAGAUGUGUGGUCCAGACUAGAGAUAUAGAGAGAUAUAUAUAUUCAAUAUUUUUUUGUGUGUGGGAAAGAUGGGGUCAAGCUUGCUGUCUCUGACAGUCUGGAAGGUUAAUGUUGAACCGUUUUUAUGGUCUGUAUUUCACCUGUUCUGCCUCCUUGAAUUGUUGGAAUGUAUCCGUGCAGGCUUUGUGGAGCUCUGUCUGUAACCUUUUUUGUGGCUCUCGUAAUACAUAUAUAUUUUU
ensembl:lncRNA